GCCCAGUUCGCAUAGCGGUAUUGCACGAGGUUGCUAACCUCGACCGAGCAAUCGGUGGGCAGGUUCGACUCCUGCACUGGGCG
rnacentral:tRNA from 1 species